rnacentral:rRNA from 1 species
CCCUACGGGNGUCAGCAGGCGCGAAAACUUUACAAUGCGGGAAACCGUGAUAAGGGAACUCCGAGUGCCCGUAAAAUCGGGCCGUCCAUGUGUUUAAAUCACAGGUGAGCAAAGGGCCGGGCACGACCGGUGCCAGCCGCCGCGGUAAUCCGGCGGCUCGAGUGGUGGCCACUAUUACUGGACUUAAGCGUUCAUAUCUGGUCUGUUAACUCUCUGGGGAAAUCUGCCGGCUUAACCGGCAAGCCUCUCAAGCAAACUGGCAGACUAGGGACCGGGAGAGGUGAGAGGUACUCCAGGGGUAGGAGUGAAUCCCUGUAAUC